AAACCGGUUUCUAUGGAAACCAAACACAGAAUAAGAAAAGAUGCA
rfam:Tupaia chinensis contig169303, whole genome shotgun sequence.